UACGUAGGCAGCGAGCGUUGUUCGGAGUUACUGGGCGUAAAGCGUGCGUAGGCGGUGUCUUAAGUUUGUUGUGAAAUCUCCCGGCUUAACCGGGAGGGUGCGGCGAAUACUGAGAUGCUGGAGUGCCGGAGAGGUAAGCGGAAUUCCUGGUGUAGCGGUGAAAUGCGUAGAUAUCAGGAGGAACACCUGCGGUGUAGACGGCUUACUGGACGGGUAACUGACGCUGAGGCACGAAAGCCGGGUGGCGAAACGGG
rnacentral:rRNA from 1 species